UGGAUGCGUGAAGAAAUGAUGAAAAUGCUUGAUGAAUCAACCACAAGAGGAGGAUGAAGCGCUUUUGGUUUAUCGCUGGGCUUUCUAAGUUGGUGCAAAUUUGCAUUGCCCUUAUUGUACAUUAUGUCUGCUCUACCUCAACCAUAUCAGGCAGUAAAUGUGACUGCAUCUGACUGAUACCCCUUGCCUAUUGUAGUCUAAGUAUGUGUGUAUCCUACCUCUAUGCUAUCAGUCAGGACAUGUCUGUAUAAGACUUGAGCUCAACUAUUAGUGUAUGCUAAGCCAUCUGCUAGCAACUGAACUAAAGAACCGUCAAUGUAAUAUCAUCAUGUGUGUACUUAAACAUGAUCGAUCAUGCACAUGUGACCUCUUAUGUAUUGAUCAUAUGUUAUCGAUUACUUCUGUUUAUGAUCGUUUGGUAAUGAUAGUUAAUGACGGUUAUACUAUGAUCUCAUUUGAUGUUCUGCAUUUAAUCACUUCCUACCUAGUUAUAGGAAAAUGGUAGUGUAAAAUGGGCUUUGGGUAUUUUCAAGGUAUAUUUUAGAGUGCAAUAAUUUAUUUGGUGGUUUCAUCCCUCUAUUUGAUGGGACUAUAGACUGUCAGCCUUUGUUUUUAUGGACUAGUAGCCAAAGUUUGACUUUCAAAAAUGUAGACACCGUAGUGCAUCUACAACCAGGCGCCCCAAACCCGUCUCAAACAGUUGGACGAGCGUACCGAUCACUGACCGAUCAUAAAAGAUCGACCUACCCGGGCACUUCAAACCGGCCUCAAACGCCCGGGCUGUCCGGCGCCCCUCAUAUGCACCCCAAAUGUUGGGCGGAUAUGGGGCAGCCUGGGUACGCCCGGGCGCGUCCGCCAUGUCGGAGCUGGCAGGCCCAGCCCACCACCGACCCCACGGCCAUCCCACAAAAAACCCCAAUCCGACUCCUCGCUCAGAACCCUAUCUCACUCACUCUCCUCUCCCCUCUCCGAUUCCGAUCCAAUCUAGCGCAAUUCAAGCUCCAGCAGUCACUCCGGCUCCGACGUCGACCUUGACGAGGAGUUUGCCCUCCGCAUUGCAUUGAAGGUGUCGCGGGCGUUUGAUGUGCCGAAUUUGCAAAGUCCGGCUGUAGAGGCUCUUACAUCCUGGAACUGAGUGAGUAUGGCAUAGCUCUUACAACAAGUGGUGAAAAUUGACAUUUGGUAAUCUGCUAACCAAAGACCAAUUUCAUAUCCUGGGUCUGACAUUGCCUACUAAUAGAACAUCAUUUAUAUUGGUUGAAGAAAAUCCAUGUUAGGUGGUUGACCUUGCACCUAGAAGUAGAGGCCUGAGGUUUUAACCCCUUCUCCAAAAAAUGUUGGUCGCAGCCAGAGACCACCUCUACAGACUAAAGUGAACGCCCCAUCUGGAUCCAAUACAUGGCUAUGUGGAUAUAGAUGCCGGCAAUGAAAAAUUAAAGCCACAUACACCGUUUGCUAGAAAAGGUGACCAAAAGGACAUGCGAGAAAUAAGGAUGACCAAGGAAGGCGGCCAGGAGGUCCCUUUUACCAUGGGAGCCAUCAAAUGUCUAUUAGUGGUAAGCUAUCACCCGACUAAUUGUUUUCAUUCACUAACUAGUAAAUUUUAAUUUUCUAAAUUUGCAUGAUUUGCAGGACCUGUUUAGUGCUGGGAGCGAGACGUCGGCGACGACUCUCAUCUGGGCCAUGUCGGAGUUGAUGAGGAACCCAGCCACCAUGGCAAAAGCACAAGACGAAGUACGUAACAACCUACAAGGGAAGCCAAGCGUAACCGAGGACGACCUGGCUGACCUCAAAUACAUGAGGCUGGUCAUCAAGGAGACGCUUAGGCUGCAUCCGUCGGUGCCCCUGCUGCUGCCACGUGAGCCCACCGAGGCGUGCAAGGUCCUCGGCUACGACGUGCCGACCGGCACCACCGUGUUUGUGAACACGUGGGCAAUCUGCCGAGACCCCAAGCACUGGAAUGCCCCGGAGGAGUUUAGGCUGGAGCGGUUCGAGUCCGGCAAAGUAGACUUCAAGGGAACCAACUUUGAAUACACACCGUUUGGGGCAGGCCGGAGGAUAUGUCCGGGGAUGCUGUUCGCACAGUCUAGCAUGGAGCUGGCCCUUGCCGCCCUCCUCUACCACUUUGACUGGGAGCUUCCUACCGGAGGGGAGUUGGACAUGGAGGAGGAGAUGGGCAUCGCCGUCGGUCGGAAGAAUGACCUAUACCUGCAUGCUGAAGUCUGUGUGCCUCUUAAUUAGCGCCUGCUUAAGAUGUCGCAUAGUGGAUGUGAUCGAUUAGGUUGGCUAGAUCGAACAUUCCAGCUGCAUAUUGCACACAAAUUCCUUGAACAUUUUGUUACCAGGGUGUCAUGGUGGUAAUUAUAGUAAUUAUUGUAUUGUACUGUUUUCAUGAUUUAUUAAAAAAUCAAUAAUAUUUUUGUAUUGAUUAUCAAAUAUGUGGUUUCCCAUCACCAAUCUGAUUUUCUUUGUUUGAUAUUAUGAGCUCAAGCUAAAUUUUCAAAGAUCUACUCCUUGUGUAAAUUCCUUUCUAGUACUUUCGGCCACGUCACCACCCUACCGAGGGUACCGUCAACCACUGCAUUGGAGAAUCUUCAAACGAACAACAAUGGAAAUACCAUCUUCAAGAACUAUGGGCACCAGCCAACAACUGACUAAGAAUGUGUACUUAGUGUCACCAAGACGUCUACGAAGGACUCUUCAACAUGGGAUCUUCUUCCAUGUUUGGCUAAGUCAACAAGCCGCAUGAGUGUACCGAAUGUCACAAGCAAAAUCAAGGAGGAUAAAAAUUGGCAGGCCUCUAGCUACUGUAAAAAACGAGUGGUUUGGGCUUUCGGAGAUCUAAUUUUCAAUUGCAAUAAUCCCAGUAGUUUGCAAACAGUUUUGAAAAGUCUUUUCCGUACCCAAUACAUAUGUACUCUCGACAUUCACAAAUGAAUAGUAGAAUGACCAUAGAUUAAAAUAUACCCUUAAAAAGUAGGAGAGAGAAAAAAACAAAAAUGACAUUUAUGUAAUAUCAAACUCUCUCUGUCUCUGUCUCUCAUGCAUUAUAGGAAAAUGGUAGUGUAAAAUGGGCUUUGGGUAUUUUCAAGGAUAUAUUUUAGAAUGCAAUAAUUUAUUUGGUGGUGUCGUCCCUCCAUUUGACGGGACUAUAGACUCUCAGCCUUUGUUUUUAUGGACUAGCUAGUAGCCAAAGUUUGACUUUCAAAAAUUUAGACACCGUAGUGCAUCUACAGCCAUGCGCCCCAAACACGUCUCAAACACCCAGACGGGCGGACCGAUCACUGACUGGUCAUAAAAAACCGACCCACCCGGGCGCAUCAAACGCCAGGGCUGUCCGGCGCCCCUCAUAUCCUGCCAAAUGUAGGGCGGAUAUUGGACGGCCCGAGUAUGCCCGGGCGCGUCCGCCAUGUCGGAGCUGGCAGGCCUGGCCACCACCAACCCCGCGGCUAUCCCACAAAAAACCCCAAUCCAACUCCUCGCUCGGAACCCUAGCUCACUCACUCUCCUCUCCCCUCUCCGAUUCCGAUUCAAUCCGGUGCAAUUCGAGCUCCAGCAAUCACUCUGGCUCCGACGUCAACCUUGACAAGGAGUUGGCCCUCCGCAUUGCCUUCAAGGUGUCACGGGCGUUUGAGGUGCCGAAUUUGCCAAUUCCGGCUGUAGAAGCUCUUACAUCCUGGAACGUGGUGAAGAUUGACAUUUGGCAAUCUACUAACCAAAGACCAUUUUCAUAUCCUGGGUCUGACAUUGUCUACUGAUAGAACAUCAUUUAUACUGGUUGAAGAAAACCCAUGUUAGGUGGUUGAGCUCGCACCCAGAAGCAGAGGCCUGAGGUUUUAACCCCUUCUCCAAAAAAUGUUGGUCACACCCAGAGACCACCUCUACAGACUAAAGUGAACUCCCCAUCUGGAUCCAAUACAUGGCUAUGUGGAUAUAGAUGUCGGCGGUGGAAAAUUAAAAUAUAGAUGUCGGCGAUGAAAAAUUAAAGCCACAUACACCGUUUUCUAGAAAACAUGACCAAAAGAACAUGCGAGAAAUAAGUGUUGGGUCAUCUCAUCCUCAUCACGACAACAAUAUUUGUCAAGUUUUUAAUACACAUACGUACAUUGCAAGGACGGUCGACGGAGCAUGUGGAUUGGGCAUGUAUGUAGUAUUAUUGAGUUCUAAACAGGAUAAUAUGGCCUUGUCCAGUUUUCACAAGCAGAUAACAGUCAGUGACAAAAAGAACAUGUGAGAAGUAAGUGUUGGAUCGAAAAAACAAAAGGCAUUCUGGGGUAUAAUCUGACUAUUGUACUCGGUUUACACAUGUAAGUUGAGCAUAGAACUCAUCUUACAAGACAUGUGUCAGCCCCUGUGAGCUCCUAUGACCAAAUGGCACUGCCAAUACAGGUUUAAACCGAGAGCAAGGCACACACCUUACAUAUAAGGCGUGAGCAGAUUAAUGUUCUCGGCUUACAUAUACAACUUGAACAGAAAGAAACACGAGCUCGGUUUACACAUGUAAGCCGAGCAUAGACCGCGUCUCACAAGACACGUGUAAGCUCCUUGGAACUCCUAGGACGAAAUGACAUUGCCAGUACAGAUUUAAGCCGAGAGCAAGGUACAUGGCUUACAUAUAAGCCAUGACUAGAUUAAUGUUCUCGGCUUACAUAUACGCCUUGCACAGAGAGAAAUACGGUCACAGCUUAUUCCUGGGCACUGGCACCAUGUGAUUACUCCAUGUAGGAAAAUUAAGCCGAGAGUGACACUCGGCUUACAGAGGGCCCACGUGGUGCCUUUAGGUUGCUAGGAGCCAGGGUUUUUCUUUUAGAGAGGGGUCAAUGCCUAGUUCAUAGUACUAAGACUACUCAUAGGGGGGUUUAACAUAUGUGUGGUGUCAUGCAACAUUUCAUAUAAGUUAUAUGUAUAACUCAUCUUAUCAGUAUGUGUGAUGUUACUUAUAGUGUGAGUAACAUACUAUAUUAUCACAUGCAUCUCUUUCCUCAUUAAUUAUUUACCAUAUCAUCUAUUUUGCCUGCAUAUAUAUGAUGUUACCACCUACCUCUGUUCUGGUUUAUUGGUUUUAACUAAUAAAGUAUUAAUGCAUGUCAUCAAAAAUUUAUAGCGUUGUAUUUGUAUUUAAACAUAGAUUACAACAAUAUUAUUUUUCGUGACAAGCAUUAACAUUUUGUUAGUUAUAAGUAAAAUCAAAAUUUAGUAUAAAAUACAAAGGGAUCAAUAAAUCAGGAUGGAGGUAGCAUGCUACUUCCACUAUGGGUAGUCUAAAAAGACCUAUUGUUCGGUUUUUUCACUACGUAGUGUGUGGAUGAAGAACAAAGCGCGAUCGUGCACCCAUCACGAUCGUCUAGGGAAUCUCCGCUCCCUAGUAGAAGUAGUACGUAUCCUUGGCGCAUCGGAGACGACGACGAGACGGGCGGUUCGUUCCGGACGACAACCAAACUUGCCCUGCAAAUAUCUGGUCGUCUCGCUCGCAUAGCGAUCCACGCCAGUUUACAGUAGAACAUCCUAGCGUACUCGAUAUAUUUAGUCUGUGCCGCAUGCGUAUAUACAGUGCAGUUUAUCCCCAGCCUUCUCUCGAGUGAGCUCAAGAAAAUAACAGGCGCCAUGACCACGGAGCAAGCAAUUUAUCUCGUCUUGGCUCUCCUCCUGCCUCUCCUGCUCCUCAAGUUCAUCAGGAAGCGCGGCCACGGCGCUGGGCAGCAGCUGCCGCCUGGCCCUUGGCGGCUACCGGUCAUCGGCAGCCUGCACCACAUCACCGGCAACCCACUAGUCCACCGUGCCUUCGCGGACAUCGCGCGCCGGCUGGGCGACGCGCCGCUAGUAUACCUCAAGCUCGGCGAGGUGCCGGUGGUGGUGGCCUCUUCUACCGAGGCCGCGCGCGAGGUCAUGAAGACGCAGGACGUCACGUUUGCGACGCGGCCGUGGAGCCCCACCACCAAGAUCAUCAUGUCCGAUGGGGUCGGGCUGGCGUUCGCGCCCUACGGCGCUCACUGGCGCCAGCUCCGCAAGAUCUGCAUCAUGGAGCUGCUCAGCGCCCGCCGGGUGCAGUCGUUCCGCAACGUCUGGGAGGAGGAGGUGACGCGCCUCGUCGCCGUCAUUUCAGCUAGUACCGGCGAGCCCAUCAACGUCAGCAAGCGGCUCGCCAUGCUCAUCGCAGACAUGACCUUGCGCGCCAUGAUCGGGGACAGGUUCAGCAAGCGGGAAGAAUUCCUGGAGGUGCUCCAACAGGGGGUCAAGAUCCUUUCGGGGUUUAACCUCGGCGACCUCUUCCCCUCAUCCUGGCUCGUCGGCUUCGUUAGCGGCUCCGCCCGACAGGCGUGGGAGAAUCACACCAAGGCCUUCGAGCUCAUCGACUGCGCCAUCAAGCAGCACGAGGAGGUGAAGGCCGCCGCCGCCGCGUCCAACGGCGGCGGGAAGGAAGGGGAGCAGGAGGACCUAUUGGACGUGCUCCUCAGGAUACAGAAGGAAGGCGGCCACGACGUCCCUUUCACCAUGGGAGCCAUCAAGUGUCUAUUAGUGGUAAGCUACCACCCGGCUAAUUGUUUUCAUUCACUAACUAGUAAAUUUUAAUUUUCUAAAUUUGCAUGAUUUGCAGGACCUGUUUAGUGCUGGGAGCGAGACGUCGGCGACGACUCUCAUCUGGGCCAUGUCAGAGUUGAUGAGGAACCCAACCACCAUGGCAAAAGCACAAGCCGAAGUACGUAACCACCUACAAGGAAAGCCAAGCGUAACUGAGGACGACCUGGCUGACCUCAAGUACAUGAGGCUGGUCAUCAAGGAGACGCUCAGGCUGCAUCCGUCGGUGCCCCUACUGCUGCCGCGCGAGCCCACCGAGGCGUGCAAGGUCCUCGGCUACGACAUGCCGACGGGCACCACCGUGUUUGUGAACACGUGGGCGAUCUGCCGAGACCCCAAGCACUGGGAUGCCCCAGAGGAGUUCAGGCCGGAGCGGUUCGAGUCGGGCGAAGUGGACUUCAAGGGAACCAACUUCGAGUACACACCGUUCGGGGCAGGCCGAAGGAUCUGUCCGGGGAUGCUGUUCGCGCAGUCUAGCAUGGAGCUGGCCCUUGCUGCCCUCCUCUACCACUUUGAUUGGGAGCUUCCUGCCGGAGGGGAGUUGGAUAUGGAGGAGGAGAUGGGCAUCGCCGUCGGCCCGAAGAACGACCUGUAUCUGUAUGCCAAAGUCGUCGUGCUGCUUAAUUAACGCCUCCUUCGUAUGUCGCAUAUCGCAAUUAGUACACAAAUUUCUUGUACAUUUUGUUACCAGUGUGUUAUGGUGGUAAGUACUGUACUGUUUUCAUGAUUUAUUAAAAAAUCAAUAAUAAUUUUUUUUGAAACGGAGGCAAAAGAUUUGCCUCAUCGAUUAAUUAAGAAGAAGAGAGUUGACUAGUUAAUUAACGGAAAACCGGGCGAAAACCGAUACAUAUAGACCACAUACGGACUACUCGCUGAGAAAGAAACUGCAUAACCACACGGUUAACCCGACAAACAUUCAUAGGACGAAACAAUCAUGAUCCUUCACACUUCUACAUCGCAAAGAAACCCCCAACGAAACCAAGGUUAAAGACAACAGACACCACCAAAUCCAUGGAGACGAGCCAAUCGAAGAUGGUGGUCGAAGAGAUUGAGUAUCAUCCAUUAAACAGCCGCUGACGCCUUACCAGUGACGCCACUCUUCUUGCCUAUGCUCCUGAGAGCCUUCUUCACCUGCUUGAUUUUGCCCGUAGAAGCCUCCUCCGCUACGAGGCAAGCAAUCGCCUUGCCAGAUCCAGGACUAACUGCCUCCAAACGGGUGAGCAAGCCGCCGAGCUUUUUCACGAAGACCAACUCGUCAAUAUGUGCCAACAUACCAUCACGGUCAAAGAUGGGCGGCCGGAUGGACUUUACCGCCUCAGAAUUAGGUGCCAAAGCACCUACACCCACAGACGGCACCUGGCCAACAGCCACAGGUGAGAGAGCAAUAGCAACAUCCAACCCUCCAUGGUCCACAAAGGCGAGUGGCUGACUGUGCUCCAACGACGGUGGUGAGGUCGAGGUCGGCAUCGUCAAGGCCCCUCCAAGCGACUCCAUCUCCAUAGGAAGCACCAUCGAAAUAGGCGAAGUGGGCUCCCCACAAAGCUUUUGCAGCUCAGGCAUAAUCUGAAGCACCGGAGCCACGACCUCGAUAACAGCUUCACUUCCAGAAGUAAUCGGCACGAUAGGCAACGGCGAUGGGCAGGAUGCACUGCGAGGGGAGAGAUCUCCAUACAUGCCAGCUUCCUCAUCGGCCGAAUUAACAUGGAUCUUGGGCAUCAGGGACAUAACAGGCACCAACGAUGCUACCCCGAUGUUUGCUCCUGCCAACGAUGCUACCCCGACAGAUGUACCGCAACAGUUGGUCCUCNNNNNNNNNNNNNNNNNNNNNNNNNNNNNNNNNNNNNNNNNNNNNNNNNNNNNNNNNNNNNNNNNNNNNNNNNNNNNNNNNNNNNNNNNNNNNNNNNNNNNNNNNNNNNNNNNNNNNNNNNNNNNNNNNNNNNNNNNNNNNNNNNNNNNNNNNNNNNNNNNNNNNNNNNNNNNNNNNNNNNNNNNNNNNNNNNNNNNNNNNNNNNNNNNNNNNNNNNNNNNNNNNNNNNNNNNNNNNNNNNNNNNNNNNNNNNNNNNNNNNNNNNNNNNNNNNNNNNNNNNNNNNNNNNNNNNNNNNNNNNNNNNNNNNNNNNNNNNNNNNNNNNNNNNNNNNNNNNNNNNNNNNNNNNNNNNNNNNNNNNNNNNNNNNNNNNNNNNNNNNNNNNNNNNNNNNNNNNNNNNNNNNNNNNNNNNNNNNNNNNNNNNNNNNNNNNNNNNCAAGCAGUCUUGCAGCUCAGUGCGGAGCAGCACAACCUGCUCCAUGAGGACCAACUGUUGCGGUACAUCUGUCGGGGUAGCAUCGUUGGCAGGAGCAAACAUCGGGGUAGCAUCGUUGGCAGGAGCAGACAUUGGUGGAUUCAGUGGAGUAACAUGACUUAGCGGCGUAGUCUGGUCCCUGGGUUGUUUUGUGCGGCAAAAGCGAGCAAUGUGGCCAAAGCGAAGGCAGUUCCUGGACCGAACUGGGUCCCUACAAGAGCGGGCAUGAUGACCUCUGCAGAGGGACCGAAAGCAUCGGUCCCUCAGCCACGCCGGAGGAGUCGGUUGUGCAUUAGAAGCGGGACGCCGGAAGUUUGUUGAAGAUGGUGAAUGACGGCGCCCCUUGACGAGGUGCCAGUCCCCAAAUGAAUCUUCAUGAGGUGCCGGCGCACAACACAUGAGAGCAGCUUGAGACUUCUCCUUGCGGAAGCAUCCAAGCCAAUCUCCCCAAGCCGAAUGCACGGGAGAAGUGACUGGGAUGGUGCAAGACAUGCUUGCAGAGUCGCCUGAUGCCAGCGGCAACGACAACGAUGUUCGGGGAGCAGUGUACUCAGUCAGCAUAGCCGUCGACAGGGGUGCAGGAGUCGAUGCCGGAGGCGGCGACAACUGGUCGGCGGAGUUGCUGGCAGGGGGAGCGGUGGUGGUGGCCUGCAGGAUCGGAGAGGUCACUGUCGGCCCAGCAGGACCACGAUUCUCCCGAUCUUGAACGGGCAGAGUGCACUGGAGAAGAGCAUGAGCCGCCGGAGUUGGACAACCACAUUGCAGGGCCGACUGAAGGUGCAGAUCCUGAACGGACGCGCCGGCCAUGGUAGCAUGGACGACGGGCAGGCGCGCUGUAGCGCUCGUCUUCACGGUCCUUGGCAGACAACAACCAUGGGCCAGAUGACCACCUACGGUCGGAUCGGCCUUGCGGAAGGCGAGUGCAGCCGCGGCCAGCUCGACGGCGGCGGUAGCCAGGGACGACCGAGCGAGAGCCAGCGGUGUCGUUGGAGCGGGAGCCGGUGGUGUCGUCUUAGCAGCUAAGGUCUUGGACACGGGGAGCAUCACGGACACGGCAGGGCAAGCCAGCGUUGGCGGCGGCGCUGGAUCCCGAUCCAGAUCUAACUGAGUAGGGAACGGGGAUGGCGGCGGGAUGAUGCGCUGCACGGAGCCCGCGGGGAGCGCGGCAGGAGGUGGCGGCAGCAUGCCGGCCGGCCGGACGCAGGGCUGCGGUUUGGUGGCCGACGGGGCCGGAAUGGCCGGGGAAGGUAGAAGAGGGACCGCCUGCCCCCCUUCCCCUCACCGGGAUGAGCUGCCAGGCCGGCGGGCGAAGCGCCCAGGCCAGAUGGCGCCGGCAGCCCCAACCCCUGCGGCAGAUCAAGGGAAAUCCCACCCUCAGCGCGAACCGACGCCGUAGGAGAGGUCGACGUAUCCACCACAGGAGAGGAACGACCAGAGGCCUCCUGCCCCGGUCUCCCUCUCACCGCCGACCCGACGACAGUGGGCAGUGGAGUUACCUCCCCUACGGUCCUUGACCGACGAAACGCCCUCGAUGCGGCUAUAUCUCCCACGUGUCGAAGCACGACUUAGAGGCAUAACCACAUUGAAAGCAAUGUCGCAAGUGAGGUAAUCUUCACACAACCCAUGUAAUACAUAAGGGAAAGAGAUACAUAGCUGGCUUACAAUUGCCACUUCACACAAGUACAUGAAUAAAGCAUUACAUCAUCCAAAUACAAUCAAGGUUCGACUAUGGAACCAAAAUAAAAGAUGAACCCCAAAGGCGACAAGGUCCCCGAUCGACCCCAACUGGGCUCCACUACUGAUCAACUAGAACGAAACAACACAAAGGACAAGAUCUUCAUCGAGCUCCUCCUGAGCUUGGUUGCGUCAUCUGCACGGACUCAACGGCACCUGCAAAUUGGUUUUGGAAGUAUCUGUGAGCCACGGGGACUCAGCAAUCUCGCACCCUCGCGAUCAAGACUAUUUAAGCUUAUGGGUAAGGUAAAGGUAUGAGGUGGAGCUGCAGCAAGCGACUAGCAUAUAUGGUGGCUAACAUACACAAAUGAGAGCGAGAAGAGAAGGCAAAGCACGAUCGAUAAAAGUAUGAUCAAGAAGUAAUCCUAAAACAACCUACGUCAAGCAUAACUCCAACACCGUGUUCACUUCCCGGACUCCGCCGGAAAGAGACCAUCACGGUAACACACGCGGUUGAUAUAUUUUAAUUAAGGUCAACUUCAGGUUUUCUACAACCGGACAUUAACAAAUUCCCAUCUGCCCAUAACCGCGGGAAUGGCUUUCGAAAAUUCAAAACCCUGUAGGGGAGUCCCAACUUAGCCCAUGACAAGCUCUCACGGUCAACGAAGGAUAUUCCUUCUAGCGGGAAGACCCGAUCAGACUCGGAAUCCCGGUUACAAGACAUUUCGACAAGGUAAAACUAAACCAGCAACACCGCCCGAAUGUGUCGACAAAUCCUGAUAGGAGCUGCACAUAUCUCUUUCUUAGGGCACACUCAGAUUGUCCUAGGUACGGGUAGGCCAGCCCAGAGUUGCCCCUGGUGGCUACCGGCAGCUGACAGGUUGGACCAACACUCAGAGGAGCACUGGCCCAGGGGGGUUAAAAUAAUGAUGACCCUUGAGUCUGCAGAACCCAAGGGAAAGAAAAUGGGUAGGUGGCGAAUGGUGAAACCAAUGUUGGGCAUUGCUCGAGGAGUUUUACUCAAGGCGAACUGUCAAGGGGUUCCCAUAAUUACCCAACCGCGUAAGGAACGCAAAAUCCGGGAACAUAACACUGAUAUGACGGAAACUAGGGCGGCAAGAGUGGAACAAAACACCAAGCUUAAGGCCGAGCCUUCCACCCUUUACCAAAUAUAUAGAUGCAUUAAUUAGAUAAGAGGUAUUGUGAUAUCCCAACAAGUAAACAUGUUCCAACAAGGAACAACAUCUCCAUGUUCCAACAAGGAACAAACUUCAAACUUCACCUGCAACUAACAACGCUAUAAGAGGGGCUGAGCAAAGCGGUAACAUAGCCAAACAACGGUUUGCUAGGACAAGGUGGGUUAGAGGCUUGGCUCAACAAUAUGGGAGGCAUGAUAAGCAAGUGGUAGGUAUCGCAGCAUAGGCAUAGCAAAAGAGCGAGCAACUAGCAAGCAAAGAUAGAAGUGAUUUCGAGGGUAUGGUCAUCUUGCCUGAAAUCCUGCAAGGAAGAAGAACGAGUCCAUGAAGAAGACAAACGAACGAAGUCGAACGGAUCCUCACGAAUGCGACGUUAACGGAACCAACCCGAAGAAGCAACAUCGGAAAGAAGCACACAACAUAGUAAACAACCAACACAUCAACAUGGCACGAUGCGCAAACAAGUAUGAUACAUGUCUGGUUUAAUGAAGCAUGGCAUGGCAAAGUGCACAAACAAUCCUACAAAUUAAGUGGAGCUCAAUAUGCAACGAGUUGCAUAUCGACGGAACACCACAUGCCUUGUUUAGUUCUCUCUCGUUUAUGUACUCAACAAAAUUAAAUGUUGUUAGCAUGGCAAGAGGGUGAAGCACAAUAAAACUAUCUAAUCUAGGCAAGGUUAAAUGAGGCCGGAACAACAAAACAACAAUUCCGGAAACUCCUCAUGUGCACAUUUUAGGUUUGGUACUGUUCUGCCCUAAACAUAAUUUUUGAGUCAUUAGGCAUGCAAAACAAGUACACCAUGUUAAACUAGGCAUUUUUCUACCCCAUUUACAUAUAAAGAUUAUUAAAUUCCGAGUUACAGUUAUUUAGUUAUGAAUUAAAGCAUUUUAGCAUGACAUAGGAGCAAAUUUAAACAAAUAUCAUUUUAAGCAUGUCAAACAUGGAUAAAAGUGGCAUAAUAUGAAACUACACAAAAUUCUAGGCAUUUUAUAUAUAUAUAAGUUGUUUUAAUCCGAUGCACGGUUGUGGAGAUAUUAAAUGCAUGAAGUUUAGGGGCUUUUCUGUAAAACUAUAAUCUCUGGAAAAAUGAUUAAAUUCGUCCAGGAAAAAAACACGUCCACUGGCUGAAACUACCUAGCCCAACAAACACAUGAUAGGGGCUGGGCGCUGCUCACAUGGGCCAAGGCCCGUUCGGUGGAAAAGAGGCCUAACAAGGGGCUCCUGGGCCUUGGAUGGAUCUGGCCCACGACGGGGCCUAAGAGCGGAGCGAGUAGUUCCUGCUUGUCGUCCUCGUGCCUCCGCACGAGCAGGGAGGAGGACGCAACAGUGGCGGCGGACGACGGCAGCUCGCCAACGGGGAGGCGCGGAGGAGGACCUGGAACGGGCGAAGAAGGCCGGGAUCCGCCAGAUCUGGUGAUGUGGGGGUCGCUGGAGCUUCCAGGGCGGCGACGGGACAAUCUUGCGGGAGAGAGAGAGAGAGAGGAAGCUCAUGAGGGUGAGGGAGCAGAGAGGAAUCGAGGGCGGAACGGCGGCACUGAUGACCUGGGGCGGCAGCAGAUGGCAGGGAAGAAGGACGAGGAGAGCGCGGGGUCGCCUGAUCCGAGGUGGUCACCGGCAGCGACUCCGGCGAGCCGGCGGGAAGGACCAGAUGGCGUGGUCGGGGUCGAGGGGCUCCUCCCCUCGAUCCAAUCAAGAGCGAGGGAGCAGAGAGUGCGGGCCAGCAACCGUACAGGCCUGGGCGGUGCUGGUUGGCUCGGUGGGUGGAUCGGGAAGGCAGGGGGCUUCGGCUUUGCAGUGAUUGGGCGGGCAUGGAAAUGGAGACGGUGGUUGGAUUGGGUGGAGAUGGAUCCCGAGGUGGGAGAUGCUGGCGGCGGGGAUUGGACAGGGAGGAUCCCUAGAAAAUAGGGUUUUGGUCUAGGGUUAGACUAGCUAUAUAUAGUAGCUGGGUUAGACUAAGGGGUAUAUCGUCCCUCCGAUCGAAAUCGAACGAUCGCGAAUAAAAUAGUUAGGGAGCCCAAAUAAGAAAACGGAGACAUUUUGUAGAUGUUUGGGGAUGAUCCGGACACAACGGUGGCGACAGUCUGAGUCGGGUUCGGGACAGCUUUCGGACGCGCGCGCGAGGAUUGGCCGCGGGCAAACGAGAGAGGUUAGGUAGGGUCUGACGGUGAGUAGUGGACUGUGCAGAAGGUCUCAGGCUGAAAGAAGAGAAGAGAGGCCCUGCGACUGUUCCGGAGACCGAAAACGUCCGACGUUAGACCGGCUACUAUUGCCGCUAUAGUUUAACGGUUGGGCUAUCAAACGAGCUCCGAACGUGAUGAAAUUUGACAGGCAGUCUACCUACACUAAAAUAAGACCACACGCCAACUCUCAUCCCAUUUCGAGAACAUUUUCCGGCCACUUAUAAAAUACUAUUUCAGACAUGCCGCAGGCGUGUGCAAGUGUGUCUGGGCUCAGAACGGACAACGGAUGGCACUGGGGGAACCCGGACGGAUGCAGGUUUUGAAAACAUGAAGAUGCAAUGCACAUGAUGACAUGGCAAGAUGCAACACACAAGCAAAUGACAUGGCAACAACAGCGAAUAACUGGAAGACACCUGGCACAUCGGUCUUGGGGCGUCACAACACUCCACCACUACGAGAGGAUCUCGUCCCGAGAUCUAGAAUGGCACCGGAGGGACAACGGAAAAGGAAGAUAAGCGGUAAAAACUAAGUUGCUUCUUUGACAAACGAGUGAAACCACGAACCUUUAGAGGUUGAACAAAUUGGAAGAAAGAAUGCAACGAAGAAGAACAAAGUUGAAAGCACUCAGUAAAGAAAGAGGAAUAAGAAAGAACCGAUUCGGGUAGCAUUCUGGUUGAAAAGAGAUGAAAGACUUGAUAAAAUGAAAAAGCUUGAGCAAACGGACACAACACUCCGGUUAAAUGGAUAAACCAAGAAAAGAACACGAUCCUGACAAAACGAAAAGAUGGGUUGACGAGAGCAACAUCACAAAGCCUCCGGAACAAAAUGAAGAAUGGAAUGGAAUGAACGAAGUAGAAACCAAGAUCUUGGCAGCGCACGCUUACAACCAAUGCUAGAACGGAGUUGUUAGAUUAUCAACAACGAAAAGAUAAGCUUGAUAUGGUCUUAUGGAAUACAUCUCAAAUUAUGAGUUGACAAUCCUGCCACUCACGGGAAAAGAAUUGGAUUGGUAUGAACAAGGAGACGAGAAAGUAUUUCACCAGGAGGAUAAAGAAGAACUUGGGUCCUUUAUAAGCACCAUAGAUAGCAACAAACCUUAGGGAAGGCUUUAGGUGAAAUAUAACCCAAGAUAACUCCAAAGAAGAGAUUGAUGGAUUUAAAAUGCCUUAUUCUUAAUAACAUGUGAAUCAUGACACAUGAACUCAAAUUAUCAAGAAUGGCAUAAUACCACCUCCAAAGAUACAGUAGAAAGAAAUUGCACUCCGGAUUGCAAGAUGAAGAAUGCUUGAGCUCCCUAGAAAUGAAUCUCGAUGAAAACUUUGAGAAGGAAUUAAUUCCUUGAUGAAACACCAUGUCGAGCCUCCAUGAAGAACUCCGAUAACAAAAGAAAGAGAAAUUGAAAACACAAGGUGAAUCCUUGCAAUGAUUUAGAUGGAUCUCCGUGAUAAUUAGAGCUUGGAACUCUAGGAAAGAAAAGAUGGAAACAAGUGAAACCGAGAAUUUGGUGAACCUCUGGAAUAAGGAAUUAAUCUCUUGGAUGAAACAAGAAUAAGAAUUACAUUAUGCUUAUCCUUCACCAAUUUAAAUUGAUGACAAGAAACGGAUCGCAUAUGGCUUAUUCUCGUAGAAAGGAUUAAGAUAGAUAUAGCGCAAACCUGAGAAGGUCUUCAAUGAUCCACCGGUAGAAUUUGAAAAGCACGAAUGCAUAGAUAUGAUACACGAAGGAAGAAAACUCUCGAACAAACCACCGUAAGAAUUGAAAAGAACAAAGUAAAGGGAUGAAUCACCUGGCAAGAAUUGUGAAAUGAAGGAAGAUACUUGAGACAAUCUAGAUACAUGAGAACGAAGAGAUCAUGCACUGAUUAGAGGAUAUUUGAUCGAUGCACCGAUAAAAUUAGGAGGGUGAGAGCUGAAAUCUAGAAUUAAUAAAUCUUAGAUGAUGGGCUCCGGAUAAACAAACUGAGAAGACUCUUGAAUUGCUCCGGAAGGGUGUAAAGAAUUCUCACAACCGAAAACAAUUAAGAGAGAAUGGCAUAAAGCUAGCACCGUGAAUCUUGGAGAGAAUGGAGCAAGAUAUGGAGGAAAAAUUCUUCUUCGGUCUUCAAAAUCUGAGAAUGACGACGAGAGACCACAAAAUUGUUGAGAUACUCUGGAAUGGAAAAUGGAAAGGUUGAGUCAAUGAUGAAAAGAAUUGGAAAGAUCUUGGAGAAAGGCAUUUGACUGAUGAUAACUCAUUCUUACGUCAAACUUUGAAAUGAAUUUGAGAUUAACUCUGGGAGAAUAAGAAGAGUCAGGUAAGAUCCUGGGAAAAGACCUGUGGGUUGGGGCCCACUCAAAAGAAACACCGUUGAAAUGAUUAAAGGAGAGGUUGCAUUGGUUGAAUUAAAUGGCUUGAAUGAGAUAACAUCCUCAAAAUAACUUGAACGGAUUAAGAGUGGAAACACGAAUCUUCUGAGAUAUCUUUAGCACUUCGGAACAAAAGAAUAGCAAGCGGGGAAGAUUAAGAGGUGCACCGACAUAAAUAAGCAUUGGGCAAAAAGAAAAGGAGUAUGAUCAAUACCAAAUCUUGAAUUAAAUCCACCGGAGAAGAAAAUGAGUGAAGAGUGACGAACUUGAAGCUUCGUUAGAAUCUUCAUGAGAAUCACUGGAUACGAACAUUGAAAGAAAAGAAUGAAGAGACUUCACAAGAAUAAAAGGAUACUUGAUUAAGAAAUCCGAGUCCUUGAGGAAAAAGGGUGGGUGGGCGUGAAAACAAAGGCAACUUGGAGACGGAUGAAACAAACACCGUUGAGAAGAACUGAUACUAGAUCUUGCGAAUGUUGAAAUGAUCGGAUCCACUUGAAGAGAAAACACGCCGGUUGAAAAAGGAUUGCCAUGGCAAUCUCGAUUAUCAUGAAGGAUUAGUGUUCACAUCGGAGUAUGAUACCACCGCUUAGGGAAGGUAUGGAAUCAACAUUUGACUUCGAAGCAACUCGAAUACCACAACUCAAAACAAAACAAAGGAUUGGCUUGCAAAAUAAGCCGGAACAAACAUAUGAUAGAGAUUUCGUCCGAAGUUUUCGUGGUGGGGCCUACACGGGCUAGAUCGUACAACACCAUCAUGUACAAGGCAGUGCACAUGACAUACGAAGCAUCCCCGAGUCGGCAUAGCCAAGGACUCUUUAAGACACAAUGAGACCACUGUAAAACCAACCGUGAAUAGGCGGACCACUAGACGUCGAACCCCAAUUUCAUAUCAUACAUCUGUCGGAAAGAUAUCCUAAGAGCUACUUGAAUUCCCACUUAUAAACUCCCGAAACUUUCCGGUUAUGCAAUCAGGUGUUGGGGAUACAGGGGAAGCAUAAUAUCUCACCCAAAACUAGCAAAUCCUACAUCCAGCUGUAUCCAUCCUUCAACACAUAACCAAGAAACCUUCGGAAAUCAUCUACCUCAACCUUCAAAAAGCAUCCGUUAUACGAGUUAUGGCAAUACUCCCGAACUCCCGCCCCAGUACUGGGUGGCGUCGAGGUUAUCUCACCAACAACUGCAUAAAAGAGAUUUUCGAUGUCGGCGAACUAAACUCAGGUAUUCCAGAACUGCAACGAUAAAAUUAUGACGAAAACACCUCGGAGCUCAACUCCCCGCGACACUGCCACAAAACCCCUGACAGGAGGCACCAAGACAAUGUUCUCGUCACAAAACCAUCAGAACGAUUCCAAGAUACCCGCGUGAUCCUAAAUUUUUUUAGUGAAAUUUGAGAAGAGAAGAGUCAAAACUCUAUGUCAGGAUGCCUUACCAGAGCGAUGAGGAGACUGGGGAGUAAAAAGAAUUCCUAAACUCUCCGAUAUAUAAAUCCUAAAUGACUCAAAACAUUUUUCUAGACACAACUCGGCCGCUAAAAACGAUCAAGCAAUGGGGCUCCUAUGGUCGGGGAAGGCUCUGAUUACCAACUUGAAACACCCUCGAUGCGGCUAUAUCUCCCACGUGUCGAAGCACGACUUAGAGGCAUAACCGCAUUGAAAGCAAUGUCGCAAGUGAGGUAAUCUUCACACAACCCAUGUAAUACAUAAGGGAAAGAGAUACAUAGCUGGCUUACAAUCGCCACUUCACACAAGUACAUGAAUAAAGCAUUACAUCAUCCAAAUACAAUCAAGGUCCGACUACGGAACCAAAAUAAAAGAAGAACCCCAAAGGCGACAAGGUCCCCGAUCGACCCCAACUGGGCUCCACUACUGAUCAACUAGAACGAAACAAAACAAAGGACAAGAUCUUAAUCGAGCUCCUCCCGAGCUUGGUUGCGUCAUCUGCACGGACUCAACGGCACCUGCAAACUGGUUUUGGAAGUAUCUGUGAGCCACGGGGACUCAGCAAUCUCGCACCCUCGCGAUCAAGACUAUUUAAGCUUAUGGGUAAGGUAAAGGUAUGAGGUGGAGCUGCAGCAAGCGACUAGCAUAUAUGGUGGCUAACAUACACAAAUGAGAGCGAGAAGAGAAUGCAAAGCAUGGUCGAUAAAAGUAUGAUCAAGAAGUGAUCCUAAAACAACCUACGUCAAGCAUAACUCCAACACUGUGUUCACUUCCCAGACUCCGCCGGAAAGAGACCAUCACGGUAACACACGCGGUUGAUAUAUUUUAAUUAAGGUCAACUUCAGGUUUUCUACAACCGGACAUUAACAAAUUCCCAUCUGCCCAUAACCACGGGCAUGGCUUUCGAAAAUUCAAAACCCUGUAGGGGAGUCCCAACUUAGCCCAUGACAAGCUCUCACGGUCAACGAAGGAUAUUCCCUCUAGCGGGAAGACCCGAUCAGACUCGGAAUCCCGGUUACAAGACAUUUCGACAAGGUAAAACUAAACCAGCAACACCGCUCGAAUGUGUCGACAAAUCCUGAUAGGAGCUGCACAUAUCUCUUUCUCAGGGCACACUCAGAUUGUCCUAGGUACGGGUAGGCCAGCCCAGAGUUGCCCCUGAUGGCCACCGGCAGCUGACAGGUUGGACCAACACUCAGAGGAGCACUGGCCCAGGGGGGUUAAAAUAAUGAUGACCCUUGAGUCUACAGAACCCAAGGGAAUGAAAAUGGGUAGGUGGCGAAUGGUAAAACCAAUGUUGGGCAUUGCUCAAGGAGUUUUACUCAAGGCGAACUUUCAAGGGGUUCCCAUAAUUACCCAACCGCGUAAGGAACGCAAAAUCCGGGAACAUAACACCGAUAUGACGGAAACUAGGGCGGCAAGAGUGGAACAAAACACCAAGCUUAAGGCCGAGCCUUCCACCCUUUACCAAAUAUAUAGAUGCAUUAAUUAGAUAAGAGGUAUUGUGAUAUCCCAAUAGGUAAACAUGUUCCAACAAGGAACAACAUCUCCAUGUUCCAACAAGGAACAAACUUCAAACUUCACCUGCAACUAACAACGCUAUAAGAGGGGCUGAGCAAAGCGGUAACAUAGCCAAACAACGGUUUGCUAGGACAAGGUGGGUUAGAGGCUUGGCUCAACAAUAUGGGAGGCAUGAUAAGCAAGUGGUAGGUAUCGCAGCAUAGGCAUAGCAAAAGAGCGAGCAACUAGCAAGCAAAGAUAGAAGUGAUUUCGAGGGUAUGGUCAUCUUGCCUGAAAUCCCGCAAGGAAGAAGAACGAGUCCAUGAAGAAGACAAACGAACGAAGUCGAACGGAUCCUCACGAAUGCGACGUUAACGGAACCAACCCGAAGAAGCAACAUCGGAAAGAAGCACACAACAUAGUAAACAACCAACACAUCAACAUGGCACGAUGCGCAAACAAGUAUGAUGCAUGUCUGGUUUAAUGAAGCAUGGCAUGGCAAAGUGCACAAACAAUCCUACAAAUUAAGUGGAGCUCAAUAUGCAACGAGUUGCAUAUCGACGGAACACCACAUGCCUUGUUUAGUUCUCUCUCGUUUAUGUACUCAACAAAAUUAAAUGUUGUUAGCAUGGCAAGAGGGUGAAGCACAAUAAAACUAUCUAAUCUAGGCAAGGUUAAAUGAGGCCGGAACUACAAAACAACAAUUCCGGAAACUCCUCAUGUGCACAUUUUAGGUUUGGUACUGUUCUGCCCUAAACAUAAUUUUUGAGUUGUUAGGCAUGAAAAACAAGUACACCAUCUUAAACUAGGCAUUUUCUACCCCAUUUACAUAUAAAGAUUAUUAAAUUCCGAGUUACGGUUAUUUAGUUAUGAAUUAAAACAUUUUAGCAUGACAUAGUAUAUAUAUAUAUAUAUAUAUAUAUAUAUAUAUAUAUAUAUAAGUUGUUUUAAUCCGAUGCACGGUUGUGGAGAUAUUAAAUGCAUGAAGUUUAGGGGCUUUUCUGUAAAACUAUAAUCUCUGGAAAAAAGAUUAAAUUCGUCCAGGAAAAAACACACGUCCACUGGCUGAAACUACCUAGCCCAACAAACACAGGAUAGGGGCUGGGCGCUGCUCACAUGGGCCAAGGCCCGUUCGGUGGAAAAGAGGCCUGGCAAGGGGCUCCUGGGCCUUGGAUGGAUCUGGCCCACGACGGGGCCUACGAGCGGAGCGAGCAGUUCCUUCUCGUCGUCCUCGUGCCUCCGCACGAGCAGGGAGGAGGACGCAACAGUGGCGGCGGACGACGGCGGCUCGCCAACGGGGAGGCACGGAGGAGGACUUGGAACGGGCGAAGAAGGCCGGGAUCCGCCAGAUCUGGUGAUGUGGGGGUCGCUGGAGCUUCCAGGGCGGCGACGGGACAAUCUUGCGGGAGAGAGAGAGAGAGGAAGCUCAUGAGGGUGAGGGAGCAGAGAGGAAUCGAGGGCGGAACGGCGGCGCUGAUGACCUGGGGCGGCAGCAGAUGGCAGGGAGGAAGGACGAGGAGAGCGCAGGGUCGCCUGAUCCGAGGUGGUCGCCGGCAGCGACUCCGGCGAGCCGGCGGGAAGGACCGCAUGGCGUGGUCGGGGUCGAGGGGCUCCUCCCCUCGAUCCAAUUGAGAGCGAGGGAGCAGAGAGUGCGGGCCAGCGACCGUACAGGCCUGGGCGGUGCUGGUUGGCUCGGUGGGUGGAUCGGGAAGGCAGGGGGCUUCGGCUUUGCAGUGAUUGGGCGGGCACGGAAAUGGAGACGUGGUUGGAUUGGGUGGAGAUGGAUCCCGAGGUGGGAUAUGCUGGUGGCGGGGAUUGGACAGGGAGGAUCCCUAGAAAAUAGGGUUUUGGUCUAGGGAUAUACUAGCUAUAUAUAGUAGGUGGGUUAGACUGAGGGGUAUAUCGUCCCUCCGACCGCAAUCGAACGAUCACGAAUAAAAUAGUUAGGGAGCCCAAAUAAGAAAACGGAGACGUUUUGUAGAUGUUUGGGGAUGAUCCGGACACAACGGUGGCGACAGUCCGAGUCGGGUCCGGGAUAGCUUUCAGACGCGCGCGCGAGGAUUGGCCGCGGGCGGACGAGAGAGGUUAGGUAGGGUCUGACGGUGAGUAGUGGACUGUGCAGAAGGUCUCAGGCUGAGGGAAGAGAAGAGAGGCCCUGCGACUGUUUCCGGAGACCGAAAACAUCCGACGUUAGACCGGCUACUAUUGCCGCUAUAGUUUAAUGGUUGGGCUAUCAAACGAGCUCCGAAUGCGAUGAAAUUUGACAGGCGGUCUACCUACACUAAAAUAAGACCACACGCCAACUCUCAUCCCAUUCCGAGAACAUUUUCCGGCCACUUAUAAAAUACUAUUUUGGACAUGCCGCGGGCGUGUGGAAGUGUGUCUGGGCUCAGAACGGAUAACGGAUGGCAUUGGGGGAACCCAGACAGAUGCAGGUUUUGAAAACAUGAAGAUGCAAUGCACAUGAUGACAUGGCAAGAUGCAACACGUAAGCAAAUGACAUGGCAACAACAGCGAAUAACUGGAAGACACCUGGCACAUCGGUCUCGGGGCGUCACAACCGAGGUGAAGCAACAGGAGAAGAAGGGGAAGAGGGGGCCGCCUGCCAAUAGUCCCCCUCUCACGGCAGAGCCGUCAAACCCUGCAAAGUCUAAGGGUGGUAGCGUGCCCUCUAGCACAUCCUCAGACUCCACAUGGUCGCUCCAUAGUCUCGGAGGAGCGGAUGCAGGCUCAAACGAUCCGAAUCUCAGAGUGUUCAUAGGCGCUAAAAAUGAAGGGGCCGCCCCAGACCCAGGCGCCUACGAGGUGGAUCUCGGCCCGUUGGCCAACUGAUGCUCAUCCUCAGCCCCUCGCGAUUCCGUGUUACCCGAACCAUCAUCCUUAUUCUGCAUAUCCACAUCCAUCCCUGCCAUAGCCUCCGCAAAAGGAUCCGAGUCCUCAAACUCAAUCUCAAGGUUGAAGACCUCGCCCUUGUAAGUCCACUUGACCACGAGAGGUUACAAACUCAAUAUCAAGGAUACUCACCGGUAAGCGUGCCACUCCAUUAGCUCUGGUGAAAGCCAUAUCAACCUUCUCGGUUUUCCCGACCAGCAUUCCCAAGCUAGCAGCAACUCGGGCAUCAUGAAGUGGCUUGGAAGGCGCCCCAGAGAAACGCAGCCAAACAUGAGUGAGGGGCUUGCCCUGCGGCUCAACUCGUUUCCACUCAUGGAACUCGAGGAUGCACUCAGUACCAGGGACUCUGCAUAACCCAAAACUGAGCAUGCGCUCCAAGUCCUCCGAUGUCGGAAGGUCAACCUUGUAUGUAUUCUCCUCGAGGUGACUAAGUUCCCACACAAAGUCACCUGGUAUUAACUCAGAAAGCCUGUGAAUAAUCUGUGCCUCAGACACCACACACUUAGUUACCUUUACAAUCCCUGUCGUUGAACUCUGUGGUUCGUCAGGUAUCUCCCUCGCACUGGGAGACUCAAAAAACAUCAGUUCAGAACAAUAGACUCCAUAAAUGGUGAUACUCGGCAUCUGAUCUCGCAGAAUAGGGCAUUCCCCCGAGUCAUGCACCGGCUUAAGACAAGUAUCACAAAGCUCAGUCUCACACUCAACAAUAAAGUGUCCUCUCUCACCACAACGGUAGCACAACAUCUUUUCCUUUUUACGAGCCCACUUGGAGGCUCUCUCCUCCUCCGCCUUGUGAACAGCCCCGACAGCCUCCAUCUCUACGGAUUCUGUCAGUGGCACGUCCACUGACGCGAGAGCAGUUACCACCUCCAUAGCCUGCCCUGAUAGCUCCAUCUCCUGACCGGUAGCUUCGGCCACCGGAUCCACCGCGACCGGAGGUGGGGGCUGGCGGUAACGGUUCCUGCCACCGCGACCACCGCAACCCCCACGGUGCCCUCGGUAGCCACCUCGCUGUCUGUAGUCGGGGCCAGAUGCCCCCUUGACAAAACCUCCUGGCGGACCGUAGAUAGGCCGUUCGUCUGACCCAUCUCCCUGCCAUGCGUAGCCACGCCCGCCACCCGUAGACGAUGAGCCACGAUGUUGUCCAACCCCGUAAGCAUUAAAACCAUCAUCACCCCACUUCCCUCGGGGUGGGCCAUUACCACCAGGAUUAGACGGCACCUGAGCCGCGGUCACACCUCCCUCUCCCGCAACCGGAGCCAGUGCUAUGGAGAAUCUCCCCGCCACAAUCAACACCUAGAAGCACACCUGUGGUACCUCUAUUUUUUUCAUACCAGCAAGAGCAUACAGUUCUAUGGAGUCAAGUCAUCUUGACACGUCUCAUUCCUAAAUGUACAUGCACAUCAUGCGGUCGCUCCAGCAUGCAACCCAUAUCACUUCCUAUUUUACCACACCUCAAACUGAACCCUUAACGCCUGAUGCUUGAGCAAAGGCAGGUGGUUGCUUAAGUGCUAAGAGCUGAGUUUAAACAUUUGAGAUACAAACAACUGCAACAAAAAAAAAAUGGAAGAACGUCCCAGACCUCUAGCUUCUGCCAUCCCAACCAUCUAUGCCUCCCCUU
rnacentral:lncRNA from 1 species